rnacentral:rRNA from 1 species
ACCCCGGGAGGGGAGUGAAAUAGAACCUGAAACCGCAUACAUACAAACAGUAGGAGCCCUACGGGGUGACUGCGUACCUUUUGCAUAAUGGGUCAGCGACUUACGUUUUGCGGCAAGCUUAACCGAGUAGGGGAGGCGCAGCGAAAGCGAGUUCGAACAGAGCGAUAGAGUCGUAAGGCGUAGACCCGAAACCAGAUGAGCUAACCAUGGCCAGGUUGAAGGUGUGGUAACACACACUGGAGGACCGAACCGACCGGUGUUGCAAAACCGGCGGAUGAGCUGUGGUUAGGGGUGAAAGGCUUAACAAAUCUGGAGAUAGCUGGUUCUCCCCGAAAACUAUUGAGGUAGUGCCUCGUGACUGACUCCGGGGGGUAGAGCACUGUUAUGGCUAGGGGGACAUGGCGUCUUACCAAACCAUGGCAAACUCCGAAUACCCGGAAGUUGAAUCACGGGAGACAGAGCACCGGGUGCUAACGUCCGGACUCAAAAGGGAAACAACCCAGACCGCCGUUUAAGGUCCCAAAUACAGGCUAAGUGGAAAACGAAGUGUGAAGGCUAAGACAGUCAGGAAGUUGGCUUAGAAGCAGCCAUCCUUCAAAGAAAGCGUAAUAGCUCACUGAUCGAGUCCUCAUGCGCGGAAGAUGUAACGGGGCUAAGUCUGUAACCGAAAGCGCGGAUUUGCACGCAAGUGCAAGUGGUAGGGGAGCGUUCUGUAAGCCUGCGAAGGUGUGUGGUAACGCAUGCCGGAGGUAUCAGAAGUGCGAAUGCUGACAUGAGUAACGAUAAAGCGGGUGAAAAGCCCGCUCGCCGUAAGCCCAAGGUUUCCUGCUCUACGUUCAUCGGAGCAGGGUGAGUCGGCCCCUAAGGCCAGGCUGAGAAGCGUAGCUGAUGGGAAGCAGAUUAAGAUUUCUGCACCGACGUUAAGUGCGAAGGGGGGACGGAGUUUUGAGCAUCAUCCGGGUGUUGGAUGUCCCGGUUUGUGCGUGUAGGAGGCCGGCAGGCAAAUCCGCCGGCAUAUCUCCGAGACAAAGCAUCGAGCUUCAUUUAGAAGCGAAGUGAUGGGAUGAACUUCCAGGAAAAGCCUCUAAGCUAUAGCUUAAUGUCGACCGUACCGUAAACCGACACAGGUGGGCGAGUUGAAUAUACUCAGGCGCUUGAGAGAACUCGGGAGAAGGAACUCGGCAAAUUGACACCGUAACUUCGGGAUAAGGUGUGCCUUUGUAGUGUGAAGAGUGAAACACUCCGAGCAUGAAGAGGUCACAGAGAAUAGGUGGCUGCAACUGUUUACUAAAAACACAGCACUCUGCAAAGACGAAAGUCGACGUAUAGGGUGUGAUGCCUGCCCGGUGCCGGAAGAUUAAGUGAUGGGGUGAGAGCUCCUGAUCGAAGUCCCGGUAAACGGCGGCCGUAACUAUAACGGUCCUAAGGUAGCGAAAUUCCUUGUCGGGUAAGUUCCGACCUGCACGAAUGGCAUAAUGAUGGCCACACUGUCUCCUCCCGAGACUCAGUGAAGUUGAAAUGUUUGUGAUGAUGCAAUCUCCCCGCGGCUAGACGGAAAGACCCCAUGAACCUUUACUGCAGCUUUGCAUUGGACUUUGAACCGAUCUGUGUAGGAUAGGCGGGAGGCAGAGAACCGAGGACGCCAGUCUUUGGGGAGCCGACGUUGAAAUACCGCCCUGAUUUGUUUGAGGUUCUAACCGCGGACAGUAAACCUGUUCCGGGACCGUGCAUGGUAGGCAGUUUGACUGGGGCGGUCUCCUCCUAAAGGGUAACGGAGGAGUACAAAGGUACGCUAGGUACGGUCGGAAAUCGUGCUGAUAGUGCAAUGGCGCAAGCGUGCUUGACUGCGAGACCGACAAGUCGAGCAGAUACGAAAGUAGGUCAUAGU